rnacentral:rRNA from 1 species
GACGAACGCUGGCGGCGUGCCUAAUACAUGCAAGUUGAGCGCUGAAGGUUGGUACUUGUACCGACUGGAUGAGCAGCGAACGGGUGAGUAACGCGUGGGGAAUCUGCCUUUGAGCGGGGGACAACAUUUGGAAACGAAUGCUAAUACCGCAUAAAAACUUUAAACACAAGUUUUAAGUUUGAAAGAUGCAAUUGCAUCACUCAAAGAUGAUCCCGCGUUGUAUUAGCUAGUUGGUGAGGUAAAGGCUCACCAAGGCGAUGAUACAUAGCCGACCUGAGAGGGUGAUCGGCCACAUUGGGACUGGGACACGGCCCAAACUCCUACGGGAAGCAGCAGUAGGGAAUCUUCGGCAAUGGACGAAAGUCUGACCGAGCAACGCCGCGUGAGUGAAGAAGGUUUUCGGAUCGUAAAACUCUGUUGGUAGAGAAGAACGUUGGUGAGAGUGGAAAGCUCAUCAAGUGACGGUAACUACCCAGAAAGGGACGGCUAACUACGUG